rnacentral:rRNA from 1 species
UACGGGGGGGGCAAGCGUUGUUCGGAAUUACUGGGCGUAAAGGGCUCGUAGGCGGCCAACUAAGUCAGACGUGAAAUCCCUCGGCUUAACCGGGGAACUGCGUCUGAUACUGGAUGGCUCGAGUUUGGGAGAGGGAUGUGGAAUUCCAGGUGUAGCGGUGAAAUGCGUAGAUAUCUGGAGGAACACCGGUGGCGAAGGCGGCAUCCUGGACCGGUAUUGACGCUGAGGCGCGAAAGCUAGGGGAGCAAACGGG